AAAGUCCCUGUCGGGAAAGGACUAGCCAUCCACCCGUAUCGAGUCUUGCGCGUGUGGCGGAGUCGUGAAGCAAAGCGGCGAACAAGACAUGUGAAGCGUAGACAGAGAAUCCUGUAGGCCGCAGGGGAGACCGCGCUCCCUUAAGUGCUGGUACAGCUUCGAAAUAGGGAGUUGUUGCGGAUGCCGAGGGUGUCAACGGUCCCGAAGGCAACACUAAGUCACCCGAAAUGGCGAGGGUGACAAGAUCCGCCGGAGUCCACAGGCCG
rfam:Geobacter sp. M18, complete genome.